rnacentral:lncRNA from 1 species
CCCCUAACAAAUACAACUCGAACUCAAAAUCUUUGGAUAAAGAUGAAAGAGUACUUACUACUCCACCACAAUCCUUGUUGGCAAAGUUACAAACAUGAUCCUAAUUAGAAGGGAUGCCAUCUUUAACAGCCUACUAGUUGCCUAAAACAAACAAAAAGAAAAACCAACAAAAUAAGGGCCAAACAAAAGUAGUUUGAAGGACCCAUAACUCUCACAAAUUUAUCACUCAAGAAAAGGGGAGAAGAUAAUGAGGAUAGGCAGUUUUGAGCUAGAAAUUUUAGCUACCAUAGCCAAAUUCUCCAUCAUCCAACCCUUGGUAGGGGCCAGAUUUUGUUGCUUAGAAAGACUCACAUUUCCUUUAAGAGAUUAGAUUUCUAUGAUUUUUUUCAAUGGCUAUAAUCCAAUAUCCAAUUAGUAGGCCCAACUCAAGAGGAGAUAACCCCUUUUCAACCAUCCAAAAUGUAUAAGGAAAAUGUGUACAUGAACAAUUUGAUUUUGUAGUAGAAUUGCCCUAUGUGGGAUAUCAUCAAGUUCAAUUGUUUUUUCUUUUUAUCAGAAUGAUGCCUCAAAUGGAUUAAAAUGAAGGAAAACAAAAAUCUCAUUGCCAGAGACACAUGAAACUCUAAUGGCGAAAGCGACAUCUUUAUCAAUGAACCAAAAUGAAAUUACAAACUCAACAUAUGUAGUGUACAAGUUUAGGUACAUCAAUGUGCCUAAUUUCUAUCCUAAUCUUAGAUUUAUUAUCCAUUUGAUGUCGUCUCGAACAUUAUCUCAUUCAGUAGACCACAAGGCAAGCAACCAAGAAUUGUAACGAACAUCGCCUAAGAAACUUGUUUAGCUGCAGCUACAACAGCUUCUGCUGUAAUACCAAACUCUUUGUAUAUCUUAUCAGCAGGAGCACUAGCACCAAACCCGUCAAUCCCAAUGGCUUUUCCUUUAUCGCCAACAAAUUUUUGCCACCCAAAUGUUGAUCCAGCUUCAAUGCUAACUCUAGCUGUAACAGAUGAUGGAAGGACACUUUCCUUGUAUUCAGCUGAUUGUUCAUCAUAAAGCUCCCAACAAACAAAGGAAACAACCCUCACUGUCUUUCCUUCUUUCUUUAGUUCCUCAGCAGCCUUGACAGCAAUUUCCAACUCGGAGCCAGUACCGAUCAAAAUGACAUCAGGUUUGUUGCCAGAUGAAUUGUCUGAUACAAUGUAGCCACCCUUUGCUGCUCCUUCAAUAGAAGUUCCAGCAAGUUGUGGCAACUUUUGCCGAGAGAGGGCAAGGAUUGAUGGUGUUUUCCUCUUAAGGACAGCCACCUUGUAAGCUCCUGCUGUCUCAUUGCCAUCUGCUGGACGGAACAUCAGAAUGUUGGGCAUGGCACGGAAACUUGCCAAGUGCUCAAUGGGUUGAUGGGUUGGACCGUCUUCUCCUAGACCAAUUGAAUCGUGAGUCAUAACAUAAAUAACUCCAGCUUCAGACAAGGCUGAAAUCCUCAUGGCUCCUCUCAUGUAGUCAGUGAACACAAAGAAAGUAGCACAAUAGGGGAUCAAGCCAAGGCUGUGUAGAGCAAUUCCAUUACAUAUGGCUCCCAUACCAUGUUCACGAACACCAAACCUUAAAUUACGCUCUUCUGGAGUGUUCUUUUGGAAGUCACCAAACAUUUUCAAAAGAGUCAUGUUUGAUGAUGCAAGAUCAGCACUACCACCAAGGAAACCAGGUAGAACCUUGGCAAGAGCAUUAAGGUUUUGUUGUGACAAGUUUCUCGUGGC